rnacentral:lncRNA from 1 species
AUGCAGCUCUUGGGUUUCGGCACCGCAGCCUACCCGCUGGUAACACCGCAAGUUGCAAAGCAGGCGAUUCUCCAAGCAAUCAAGCUUGGUCAUCGGCAUUUCGAUACAGCUUAUAUUUACGGAACGGAACAGCCGCUUGGUGAAGCAAUCGUAGAAGCAAUCUCGCUUGGCUUAAUUAUAUCUCGAGACGAGUUGUUCAUCACUACCAAGCUCUGGUGCAGCAAUGCUUAUGGAGAACUUGUUCUUCCUCAGCUUCGCAGGAGCUUGCAGUAAAUUAUAUAUGUUUAUUUUUCUAAUUUCAAAUUAAUAUUUCCUUACCCUGAAUAGACGUUGUGGCCACUGACAUGGUAAAUGGUGGCUAAAGUUUAAACUAUUUCUACUGUAGAAAUCUCAAGAUGGAGUACGUGGAUCUCUUUCUUAUUCACUGGCCUUUAAGCUUAAAACCAGGGAGAUACGAAUUCCCAGUAAGGAAGGUAGAGAUUAGCCCCAUGGAUUUCGGAUCCGUAUGGGCAGCCAUGGAAGAUUGCCAGAGGCUUGGCCUUACAAAGUCCAUUGGGGUAAGCAAUUUUUCCUGCAAAAAACUAGCUGACAUACUUGCCUUGGCAAAGAUCCCUCCUGCUGUUAAUCAGGUAAAACUCUCCCUUUUUAUCUCUGAAUCUAGUAUACACCUAACAUAGUAGCAUUCACUUUGGUUUCAACGUUGGGUUAUACAGUGACGAAGUUUCAAUUUUUUUCCUGCAAGGUGGAAUUCAACCCGUUGUGGAACCAGAAGAAGCUAAGAGAGUAUUGCAAAGCAAAUGGGGUCCUUCUCAUAGGUUACUCCCCAUUAGGAGCCAGUGGGACACUUUGGGGCAGCAGUAGAGUUCUGGAGAAUGAGGUGCUCAAGGAAAUAGCGAAGGCUAAAGGGAAGACAGUUGCUCAGGUCAGGUGCUUCUUGUUUCCUUUAAAACCAAAGCUAGCUAUUUCGGACUUAUUGAUAGAAAUUAGUCUGAUUUAUUAAUCCACAAACAGAUAUGUUUGAAAUGGGCAUUUGAAGAAGGUGUGGGUGUAAUCGUGAAGAGCUUCAAUGUUGAGAGGAUGAAGCAAAACCUUGAGAUAUUGGAUUGGUCAUUGAGCGAGGAGGAGCGUAAAAGGAUCGGUGACCUCCCACAAAGUAGGGGUUGCACCGGAGAAUCGUUUGUCUCUGAAAACGGAACUUUCAAGACAAUCGAGGAGUUUUGGGAUGGGGAAGUUGGAUUACAUUUUCAUUCUAAAAAAUAGCCUUGAGUCAUUAUGUUAACUUGGAAUUUAUUCUUCAUAUUUGUUAAAAUAAUAAGGAUGUUUGCUUGAAUUAAGAUUCAAAAAUCUUUUAAGAUAUUUAAAUAUAUUUAUUAUGUAUUAAUUAGUAUAUUUUUUAUUAAGUGAAACUAAUUCAAGAUCACUUUAAAAUUAGAUUUGUCUUAUUUGUCUUAUUUUAGUUUUUUUUUUCAAUUUAGUCACUUAAUUAAAAUGAUUGUCAAACUAAUUAGUAUGUUAAAAAUUAUGUUAAUUCACUAAUAGAUUGCUAAAGUGACACAUUAACCAAUUAAAUAAUGACACAUGUCACUUUUUCUUAUUAAAAUUUAAAGAUAUCUCUAUAAUUAAUUCAAAACGCUUUUUUUUCUUCCUCUUCCCUCUUUUACCUCAUAAAAGGAUAAACCAAAACCCACUCCCUGUUCAAGACCAUCUCAAAAUUACUUGUCCUUCACCAUUUCUCAUUUUAUCAGUAUUCUUUGUACUCAAUGAUAAUAUGUUAAUUUGCAUGGUUUCUUGUGUUUAAUUUGGUUUAUUUCUGAAUUGAUCCUUGCUAAAUUAGUGUUUUUAUGAUUUAAUCUUAUCAGGGAUGCAAUUGGUAAAAAACAAGCUAAAAGGGGCCAAAUUGAUACACAAUCACUGGAAUAGGGCCAAAUCAAAAAGAUGGAGGAAGCUAAUGACACAUCAAAUAUUUUGACUUCGUUAAAGCCAAAAAUAGGAAAAUAUUAUUUUAUUUUAUUUUUUAUUUUAUAUUAAAUUAGUUUAGGAUAGGGGCUUUAUGUUCUUAGAAAAUCAUCCAUUAAUUUUGUAUUCCUACUUCAAAUUGGAAUAGAAUUGUUCUUCCCUUUUCUUUCAAGUUGACGUGAGCUACUGCCAUUUUCAUUUUCAUUUUGCUUGCUUUUAUAAAAUUGGGUUAAUUUCCUUCCAAGUCCUUUUCAUCCCCCAAAUUCCUCCAUUAUCAUCAACCUACCUUUCUAAACAUACAAAGCAUGAUUAAUUGCAUGCUUAACUAAAUUUCAUCUUAGCUUUAGGCCGGUGUUCUUUCUGGUCGAGAAUCGCGAGAUACGAAUUCGUGCUAAAAUCUGUCCAAUCGGUAUUCAUUCUUUUCCUAAGUAUCGGGAUUGACAACUCAUCCCUUAAGGAUAACUCGAUUACGAGUCAAAAAGUGCACGUUGGGUUGGAGUCGUGUUAGCUGACAGUUGGAGAAACGAGUCGGCUAUGCUGUAUUUGGAUCCACGAGAACAAAUCGAGGAAAAAGUGAUCAGAUUUAAAUGACCUACGCGGUUGAGGACGUUAAUUCGAGUUGGGUUCUUCAGAUAGCAAGGUUGCUGGAAUCUUAAAUCGGGAACACAUGUAUCUCGGUUAGAUAAUCGAUAAGGUUUGAUUUUCAAGUCGUACCGGAACUAGCUACAAGAGGAAGAAUUGGUGGUUAGGACGUUCUUAAUUGCUAUAACCUGUAACAGCCCGAUUUUAGCUAAAUCGGAACAGUGGUUUUGGAACCAUAAAUCUGAGGUUUUAAAAUUAUUCUAAUAUUAUUUUUGGUUUUUAAAACAUGUGAAUAUAUAUGUGUGAAAAUUUCGUGAGCUAAUUUUACCGUUUAAUAGCUCAAUUUGAGAAAAGGACUAAAUCGCGUAAAAUGCAAAAGUUAAAUUUUAUUUGAUAAAGGUGUCUAAUUGCUAUGAUUUAUUAAAUUAAAGGUCCUUAUGAUGAUAUUAGACCAUUUUAAAUGUUGGUGGACAAUAUUAGACAUCCAUUAUAUGAUUUUAUAAGUUUAUAACAAAGGCUAAUAAUGUAAUUUGGUUAUUUAAGUAUAAUUAAUAAAAAAAAGUCAAAUUUUAUCAUUUUCUUCAUCACCUAGCCGAAUUUAAAGAAGAAAAAGAAGCCAUUUUACUCAUCUAGGGUUCGACACUUGUAAGUUCAAUUUGGUAAGUGUUUUGAGCUCGGUUUUUGAUAAUUUUUAUAUUUUCGAAUACUAGCUAGCCCAGGGACUAAUUUGAAAAAUUUCUUAAUGUUUUGAAAGUUUCCAUUGAUGGAUUCAUUUUUUUUGAAUGUUUGAUCAUGAAAUAUUAAAUCUUGAUGAUAGAUAUCAAUGUUUUGUAAAGUGAUUUUGUGUAGAAAUGCUUAAAUAGGAUUAAAUUGUGAAAAGUGUAAAAUGUGGGGUUAAAAGUGUGAAUAAAUGGAAUUAAAGGGCUGACAGGGACCUAAGGAAGAUUCGGCCAUGCUUGGGUUUGAUGAAAUUUUGUGUAUUUUGUGUUGUUUUAAAAUAGGGACUAAAUUGUAAAAAUGUAAAAUGUUAGGGGAUAAAGUGUAAAAUGUUAAUUUAUGUGUUUUUGGGUGAAAUUGAAUGAAUAUUUGAUUAAAAGAGUUAAUUUUUAAUGUAUAUAGAUCAAGAAUAAAAUAAAUCAGAUUUAGAUCGGGGAAAAACGAAAGUUAUUGAAUAAUCGAUCAAGCUUCUCUAUUCCGACUACGAGGUAAGUUCAUAUGCAAAUAAAUGUCUUUCAAUUGAAUUACAUGUGUUUACUUGUCAUGGAAAUUUUAUAAAUGUUGAACGAGCACUUACGAACAAGAAUCGACAGAGUUACGAUAUCUGAAAGUCCCGUACGAACCUUAGGAAUAGAAUAGGAUACGAAUGUCAUAACAUUAGGUUAUCGAGAUGUGAUUACAUGUAAGACCAUGUCUGGGACAUUGGCAUUAUAUUCAGAUUAUGUGUAAGACCAUGUCUGGGACAUUGGCAUCGUUAAUCGAUUUCGUGUAAGACCCUGUACGGGACAAUGGCAUCGAUAAAUAAUAACAUGUAAGACCAUAUCUGGGAUAUGGCAUUGUAUGAGCUUAUGUGAUUUUCGAGUAUCCUUAACGAUUUCGAAUGGUUCAAUGGGCAAAGUCAAGAUGAGAAAGAAUAUGUGAAUGAGCUAAGUAACUUAGGUACGUACGAGAUUCAUACGAGUAUUGAGAAGUGAAGUAAAUGAUGAAAUUGAUUGUGAUAUUGAACAUGUGUUCAAUAAGAAAGGUUUGAGAACUUGUGUGUGAUUAGUUAUGUUUAGCAUUUUUGAAUUGAUAUGCAAAGGUUCAUAUUAUAGCUUUAUUUGUAUAUGACUUACUAAACUUUUAAAGCUUACUUUGUGUGUUAUUUCCAUGUUUUCUAGAUUAUCGAAGCUAGGUCGGACUCAGGAAUCGUCAGGAAACGUCAUCACACUAUCGAUUAUCUAGUUGGUACUUUUGGUGUAACGCCCCGCACCCGAGACCGUUGCCGGAGUCGAACACGAGGUGUUAACGAACUUAAUUCAUUUAUUUACACAGUUCAUUUUAAAAUUUCCAGACAAGCUGGCUAACUGCGUCACUUUCACCUUAAAAAUCAUAUCUCGAGUUCCAAAACUCGAAAACUGAUUCCAUGAAUUUUUCCUGAAACUAGACUCAUAUAUCCAUCUACAUAUUUUUUUCUAGAAUUUUUGGUCGGGCCAAUCAGUACAGUUUAUUAGUUAAAGUCUCCCCUGUUUCAGGGUUCGACUACUCUGACCUUCAUGCAUUACGACUUAGAUAUCUCCCUGUACAGGGCUUCAAUACAUAUUCCGUUUGUUUCUAAUGAAACUAGACUGAAAAAGGAAUCUGUACAUAUAAAGCAUGACUUCUAAUUAUUUCUGGUUAAUUUAUGGUAAAUUUCCAAAGUCAGAACAGGGGAUCCAGUAACCGUUCUGGCCCUGUUUCACGAAAACUUAAACAUCUCAUAAAAUACAGCUCAUAUGGUUGUUUCGCUUCUUCCAUAUGAAAAUAGACUCAUCAAGGUUAGAUUACAUAAUUUAUUCAUUAUUUAAUUACAUUCCUAAUAUUUUUAGUGAAUUUUCAAACUCACAUCACUGCUGCUGUCAGCAUCUAUUUUAAGGUAAAUUUCACCUAUUUCAUAGUUUCCAUGAUUCAACUAGCCAUUUGACAUACAUAGCACCAAAUAUGAUCGUGAUUAACCAUUCCAAUGGCUAAUCAUUGCCAAGCAUUUCCACACCUCUCAAUAACCAUAUAUAUAUACAAAAUGAUUUUAAUACUAUGCUUAAAAUAUUUAAGCCAUUUUCGCAUGGCUAUGCGAAUAUAUACACAUUACCAAAGGUACUUGAUUAACAACAAAGGUUAGUCCUAUACAUGCCAUGAUCAACGUUUAACUAAAAGAGUACCAAAAGGGCUUAGAUAGUGUGGACGACUUCAACUUCGACAAUCCCGAGUCCGAUAGCUGACGAACAAAAAUCUAUAAAACAGAGAAUUAAAGAAACAGAAUAAGCAUUUAAUGCUUAGUAAGUUUUGAGUAACGAAAUUAUUUACGACUAAAGUAUAGCGUUCAUAUGACUAAAUGAAUAAUUCCAUAUAUGCACAUUCUCAAAAUCAUAAUUUCUUCACGCUUCAACCAAUAUAUUCAUACACAGGGUAUCAAACCUAACUAGAGGCCGGAAGCUCGUUAAUCAAUUGAGCGAGUACUAUUUGAAAGGAAUCAACAUUUCCGAUGCAUAUACGAAACAUACCUUAUCGUUUGUAUUUUAUGAGCGUAUUAAUUGAAAUUAUUACAGCAAGAUCGCUCGCUUCGAAACCCAAGUAUCUUCGGGAUUUAUCCGGAUAUAGCAACUCGCACAAAUGCCUUCGGGUCUUAGCCCGGAUAUAGUCACUAGCAUGAAUGCCUUCGGGACUUAGCCCGGAUAUAGUCACUAGCACAAAUGCCUUCGGGACUUAGCCCGGGUGUGGCAACUACUCGCACAAAUGCCUUCGGGACUUAGCCCGGAUAUAGUAACUUGCAAAAAUGCCUUCGGGACUUAGCCCGGAUAUCAUCCGAAUAAUCAAGCACAUAUACCAAUAAAUCAUGACACAUCCAUAUUUCAUUAUCAUAACUAGAAUUCAAACACAAGACGCUUAUCAACCAUUACCAUUUUCGGCUCAAUAGCCACAUACAAAGAGCAUGAUUUUGAUUUGCUUUAUAACAUGAUCUCUAUACACAUUCGGCUACCCGUCAUAGGUAUAAACUAAUCACCUCAAUAUACAAUUCAAGUAGAAUCAUUAUAUCACCAUUUAUUUGUUAUGCUUAUAUGUCAUGACUUAAUCAAAUCAUAAACUAAGUUUCAUUACUCGAAAACUUACCUCGGAUGUUGUCGAACGAUUUCAACGGCUAUUCAAUCACUUUUUCCUUUCCCUUAUCCAACUUUGAUCCUCUAAGCUCUUGAGCUAAAUCAAAAAAUUUACUCCCCAAUCAAACACAAUCAUACGACAUUCAUAUACAUUUUAGAACCAAUUCAUUUGAAUCAAUUUACUACUUAUACAUCAAAAUUUCCAAUACAAAGUAUUUAGUACCUAUGCACUUAAACCGGAUUUGCAAACACUCAUAGACCAUGUCUGAAUGCCAUUUAAACACAAGUCAACAAAACCUCAUGAUUUCAAAUCAAACUCUUAACAAGAAUGCACAAUGCCGAACCCUUAGAUGAUUAACAUCUAAUUUAGACAAUUUAGAACACCUAAACGGCACUUGUUCAAACAUUAAACAACUACAUGUUCGGCCAUUACCAUUGGUGCAUUAGAAAUCUAUACUAUCAAUAAGCUCAACUCCUUAGGUCCUAAUCGGUACACUAGGACCAUCUUAACUCAUUUCUCAUCUUGUUAACAAAGACAUAGUAAAGCAAAUCUUUAUACACAAUUAUUAUCAAUUCAUCCAUCCACUAGGGACUUAGCCUAACGUUCAAUAACAAACUCAUCCUUUAUCAAUUACAUAUUCGGCAAGAACAUGGUAACUUAUACUACAUCAAUUUAGGUACAUAAAUUACUCAAACAUAAUCAAAUUCACAUUCGGUCUUGGUACAUAAUAAGGUAGCCGAUUCUUUUCCCUUAGCACCCAAUGCUCACAUAUGCUCAUUUGUAUAGUUCAAACACUCAUCUACCAUUGUUCAUCUAAAUUUAUCAUGAAACAACAACCAUCACCCUUAUUAAUUACCAUAGCCGAAAGCCCUACUCAUUCCCACAAUCAAAAAUUCAACAUGGGUUACUAAAAUAACUUGAUACCUCAUUCAAGAUUAGCCAAAAUUUCAAGAAUUAACAUAACUUCUUACCUUAAUGCUAACUUAAGAUGACCGAAUGCCUUUCUCCCAUCUUCCUCUUUACAUUCGGCCAAGAAGAAAGAAACUCAAGCUUUGUUUUCAUCACCCUUCAUUUCCUUAUUUCAAUUAUUUUUUCCUUUUUUAUUUAUUUAUGUUAUAAAAUAUAAAGCUACUAACUAAUAAUUAAUACAUAUUGCAUGUAUAUAACCCAUCAUGGCCGGCCACUACUUGUCAUAGGUGGAAAUUUGACAUGCAAACCCAUUAUUUUCAUAACAUGCACUAAUAGAUCCUUAUAGAUUAACCUAUCACAUUUCAAAAGUGUCACACAUAAGUCCUAUUAACUAAAUUCACAUGAAAUUGACUAAAUCGAAGCUUAAAUCUUUCACACACUCAUAUUCACAUGUUUUAGACAAUAAAUAUUAUACUCAAAUACUUCGGUGACUCGGUUUAGCGGUCCCGAAACCACUUUCCGACUAGGGUCAAUUUAGGGCUGUCACAUUUGGAAGCUUUGUAUAUAUGGUAUAUGGCAUGUAUAGGCUAGUGUCAUUUUAGUAUGUUUUGAGCUGUGAUAUUAGCCAUGUGAUUUGGCUUGUUAAUGAUGUAAAUGUUGGUGUGUAUUUGGCAAUUUAAGUUGGCUUAAAUAUGUGUUUGAUAAGUGAUAUAUGUGAUGUAUAUUAUGCCUUAUAUGUUGGCUUGAUUUGGUAUGUUUGCCAUAGUUGUUGAUAUAGCUAAAUGGUUGUUCAUUUGGUUAGUUAUUAGUUGAUGUAUUAAUGCUUGGGAAGUUGACAUAUUGUGAUUUGGCCUUGAGAUGAUAAUAUGGUGUGUUUUGUGAUAUAAAAUAGGUGAUAAGAUAAUGAGUUAAUGCAUUUGGAACUUACGUAAGUUGUGAUGAUUUUGGUUUAGUGAAAUGGUAUCAUUUUGGUUGCUAGGUGUACAUGAGAAAAGGGUGACAAAUUGGCUUUGCAAAUAGCCUAUUUUUGUCCACACGGGCAAAGACACGGACGUGUGCCUCAGCCGUUUGCGACACACGGUCAUAUUACACGGCGAUGUGUCCCUUGGGGUAGUCCUUAAGUUCAAGUCAGUCUUGUGCACGGCCUAGACACACGGGCGUGUCUGGUGGCCAUGUGAGACACACAGCCUUGGCACAUAGGCAUAUGUGGCUUUUUCAAAGGGUAUACGGGUUAGACACAUGGGCAUAUGGUUGACCGUAUGGCCAAGUCAGUAACUCGCCUUAGAUUUCACAUGGCCUGGCACACGGGCGUGUCCUCGGCCUGACACAUGGGAUGCAAAUGUUACAUGUAAAAAUUGGUUUGGCUUGGAAUAAGGGUUAAAUUGCAUGAAUUUCAUUUUUCUGAGCCUAGGGACGAAAUCAGAAUUAAUUAAAAGUAUAGGGGCAAAAUAGUAAUUUUACCUAAGAUAUGAAUUGUAUUAAAUUGAGUUAAACUUACUCGUAUAGGUCCGAAUAGACCAAAAACGGAGCUAGAUUGAGGUAAAGAAAAAGUUGUUUAUCUAUCAACAUUGUCGAGGUAAGUUCGUGUAACUAAAUUGUGUAUAUUUAUAUGCUUGAAUUGAAUGUUGUGUAUAUGAUUGUAUUGUUGCUAUGAAUAUGAAAUUAAUAUUAUAUUCGACAAUUCCUGACAAACGUCAAGUCCCGAUUGAAUAAAUUAAUUUCGAUGGAUACAGGAUUUCUCGUAUUGGUUGUGGUCCUGCAUAUGUUGCGGACACACCACAACUCGAAAGAGCAUCUCGUUAUUACGCCUCUCGAGCUUCCUAUUAUAUGGUUCUUACGAGCUUCCCGUUAAUAGCUCUUCGGAGCAUCUCGAUUGGUUGUGAUUCUGCAUGUGUUGUAGACACACCACAGCUCUUAUAAACAUCCCGAUAUAUGGCUCUUCGUGAGCUUCUCGAUUAAAGGCUCUUUAUGAGCUUCCUGAUUAAUGGCUCUCCGGAGCUUCCCGUUAUGGCUCGCUUGAACUUUGCAAUAUAUGGCUAUCUAGAGCUUCCCAUUAAUGGCUCUUCUGAGCAACCCGUUAUUGGCUCGCAUAAGCUUCUUGAUUAUGGCUCUUAUGAGCUUCCCGUUAUACAGCCCGGAUAAGCUUCCCAUUAUAUAGCUCACAUGAGCUUCUCGCUAUAUUGCUAGAGAGAGAGCUUCUCGUUUAUGUGCUUGUAUGAGCAUUCUCAAAUAUGAAUUAAUGGAUUAUAGUUUUGUACACUUCGAGUGUACUAUCUGUGUAUCCAUCGAUAUUUCAAAUAAAUUCAACGGGUAAAGUUCUAACAUGGGAUAAUCUAAACUUGAAAUGAAUUAUUAUGGAAAUGUACAUGUUAUAUGAAUAUAUUAUGCGGAAAGAAUAUAUAUAAGAAAAUUUUUACAUGAUGAGCUCAUUCUUGUUUCUUGAUAUUCACAUGAAGUACAUGACUAACUUGUUUCUUGAGAUUAUAUGUGUUUAGGCAAAUAGCCAAAUUUUCUUUGGAUGAAUUUUGCAUGCUUACUUUAAAUAAAAAUGAAUGGUAAGUUAAUUUCCUAUUAUGCUUACCUUGUAUUAUUUUUCCUGUUUUAUAGCAAUACAGAAGCUCGAAAUGGUUGGAAGCUGGUCGGAGCAUCAUCACACUAUCCUUCGGCUCAUUUUGGUAUAUGUCACGAACUAAAUUUUGGUAUAAUGGCAUGUAUAGGUUCAAUUGGGCCAUUGAUGGUAAAUAUGUGUUUUGGUUAUAAAUAGCCAUUGGAAUAGCUUGAGUUGGACGUAAUUUUGUUAAGUAUAUAUUUGUGUGGCUUCUUCAUGUUUGUUUUAUUUGAUGUGGUUGAGUGAUGGAUAAGUUAUAGGCAUAUUGAUAUAUGAAAUGAGAUAGUAUAUUUGGUAUAAGUAAAAAAAUAGAUGUUUUCAUUAAUAUGGUAAAUUUGAAUGAUGAGAAAUAAGGAUGUAUGACAUGUUUAUGACUUGAUUUUGGUUAGUUUAAAUGUCUUGGAUUGGUUUUUGAAUGUGUUAAAAUGUUAGUGUAAGUGAAAGACCAAAUGGGUGAGAAAUAUGGCUUUGAAAUGGCCUUAUUUAGUUCCACAUAGGCAGGGACACGGGCAUGUGUCUCAGCCGUGUGUGACACACGACCUACCACAUGGGCAUGUGUUUCGGCCGUGUGUCCCCUGUAUCUUUAAAAUUUAAAACAGAAUACUCAGGAGUUUUCACAUGGCUUGGCACAUGAGCGUGUAGCUUGGCCAUGUGACCUCUUGCACUUAUACAUGGCCUAGCACACGGGCGUGUGACUUGGCCGUGUGACCCAACUCAGAGAGUUAUGUGGGUAUGGACAUGGCCGUGUGCCCUAUUUUGAAUGCCCACACGGCUUAGGACAUGGGCGUGUCACAUGGCUGUGUGGCUCACUCAGUCUGACCACAAGGGUAUGUAUCCCCUGUACCUUGGAAAAAUUUUGAGAUUUUGCAAAAAAUUCUCUAAGUACCCGGUUUAGUCUCGACUUGUUUCUAAUGUAUGUUUUGGGCCUUAAGGGCUCAUAUAAGGGAAUUUAUAAAUAAUUUCUGACAUGAAUGUUAAAUAAUAUGAAAUGAUUGUAUUUGUUCUGUAUAUUUCGAUAAUGCUCCGUAACCCACUAGACGAACUCAUGGGUUAAGUUCUUUAUCCUUAGAAGAUAAAAUUGAUAAGCUGACUAACGUUGUUUAAACUUUGCUUACAGAUAAAACGAACCCAGCAAGGUUGUGCGAAAUUUGUACUAAGCCAGACCAUCCGACGAACUCUUGUCUGAUUUUAUAUGAAGAUUCGACAAAAUAGGCGAAUGCUGUCGGGAACUUUCCAGAACCGCCCCAAAGGCGAUAUGACCCCUACUCAAACUCGUAUAAUGUGGGGUGGAAAGAUUAAUCGAAUCUUAGUUAUGGGUCGAAUCAGUGGUUCAAUCACUCAUACCAACAAAGGCCGCUACAGAAUCAACAGAUACCACCCCCAAAGUCGUCUUUGGAACCAUAAUGGAAAGGCUAACCAAUAGUACUGAGAGAUUCCCACAAAAAACUAACAUGCAUUUGCAAGAGUUGGAUAAGCAAGUGAGCAAACUCGCGCUCACAGUUAGCCAUUUGGAGUAUCAAGGUAAGCUGCCAUCCCAAACUAAGCCAAACCCUCAACACAAUGCAAGCGCUAUGAAAUUGAGGAGUGAGAAGGUUUUAGAGCCUAUACCUAACACGAGCUGUGAUCACGACACUAGUCCUGCCCAUGACACUAGUUAAGAUAGUGAGAAACUUGACACAGAAGUUCCAAUAGAAUCAGUACCAAAAAAAUCAUUUGCAGUACCACCUCCGUUUCUUGGAAGACUUGUCCAGUACAAGGAGCGAGAAGAGAAGGAGAUCAUCGACACCUUUCAAAAGGUAGAAAUCAACAUGCCUCUUCUCGAUGCGAUUAAGCAGGUCCCACGAUAUGAAAAAUUCUUAAAAGAUUUAUGCACGAGUAAAAGAAAGCUCUUGGGUAAUGAAAAGGUAAGUGUCAGAGAAAAUGUCUCCGCCGCUCUACAAAGGAAAAUACCGUCAAAAUGUAAGGACCAAGGUAUGUUUUUCAUAUCUUGUAAAAUAGGUAGUGUUAGUAUUAAAAAAGCAAUGUGUGACUUAGGCGCAUCAAUUAAUGUUAUGCCUUUGUCAAUUUAUAAACUACUUAACGCGAGUCCUUUGAAGGAAACAUGUGUAAUUAUUCAACUUGCAGAUAGAUCUGUGGUGCAUCCAAAGGGAGUAUUGGAGGACGUUCUUGUCAAGGUAAAUGAGCUAAUAUUUCCUGCACGCUUCUACAUUAUCGAUAUGGAGGAUGACAAUUUGGCUAAUUCAUCUGGCAUUCUUCUCGGGGGACCAUUUUUGAGCACCGUACAAACAAAGAUUGACGUAUGAAGUGGGAUAAUCACUAUGGAAUUCGAUGGGGAAGUAGUGAAAUUCAAUGUCUAUGAGGCCAUGAACUGCCCUAGCAUGAUUUCUAAUGUUUCUAACAUUGAUAUAAUCGAUCCUUUAACUGAAUUACAUUCAAAAUAUCAUGACGAGGAUAAAUUACGAAUUAUUCUUUGCAGAAGUCUAGACUUUGAUGCCAUGAAGAAACUAGAGGAGUGGAUAACCUUUGAAGAAUCUGUUCACGAAACAGUGGCUCAUAUGGAGGUAUCGCAAUUACGGAAAAAUUCAGAUAAAAUUUUUAAAUUAUCUCCUUCACAGACUAAGCUUGUACCAUUUGUUUUGCAAGCUUCAGAGCUGGAACUCAAACCACCUCUAGACCAUUUAAAGUACACUUUUCUCAGUAAAGAAAAUACCUUACCGGUAAUAAUCUCGAGUAAACUUACCGGUAAUAAUCUCGAGUAAACUCUCGAAGGUAGAAGAGGAAAAUUUGGUACGAGUUCUCAGAGACUAUAAAUAGGUAAUUGGAUGAACGAUAACCGAUAUUAAGAGGUUGAGCCAUUCAACUUGCAUGCACAAAAUUCAAGUUAUGGAUAAUGCUAUUCCCAACAUUGAGGCUCAAAGGCGUCUCAAUCCACCCAUGAUGGAAAUGAUAAGGAAGGAAGUUCAAAAGUUACUUGAUGCUGCGAUGAUCUAUCCCAUUUUUUACAGUAAUUGGGUCAGUCCGAUCCAUGUAGUACCGAAAAAGACCGUAAUUGAGAAUUCGACAGGUGAGAUAGUUCCCACUCGUGUUGAAAACGGGUGGAGAAUCUGCAUCGAUUAUAGGAAGUUGAAUUUCUUAACUCGGAAAGAUCAUUUUCCACUUCCUUUUAUUGACCAAAUGUUAGAACGUUUAGCUGGGAAGUCUCAUUAUUGUUGUCUUGAUGGUUACUCAGGAUUUUUCCAAAUUCCAGUGGCUCCGAAGGAUCAAGAGAAGACGACAUUUACGUGACCACUUGCAUGUUCGCUUACAUAUGGAUGCCGUUCGAACUUUGCAAUGCACCAACCACGUUUCAGAGGUGCAUGGUAACUACAUUUUCUGACUACGUUGAGAAAAUAAGUGAGGUGUUCAUGGACGACUUUACUGUAUAUGGUGAGUCUUUUGAGGUAUAUUUAUUAAAUCAUACAAAAAUCUUGGAAAGAUGCUUAGAAUUUAAUCUUGUUCUAAAUUAUGAGAAAUGCCAUUUUAUAGUAGAUAAAGGAUUAGUUCUAGGUCAUAUCAUUUCUGCUGAGGGAAUUUCUGUCGAUAAAGAAAAAAUCGACAUCAUUAACUCACUGCUAUACCCCACAACUAUGAGGGAGAUUCGUUCUUUCAUUAGUCAUACAGGUUUCUACAGAAGGUUCAUUAAAGACUUUUCAAAAUUUAUGCAAUCACUUUGCAAUCUCUUACAGAGUUUGACCAAUCAUGCAGAGAUGCGUUUGACACGCUCAAACAUAAGCUGAUUUCAACACCUAUCGUUCAACCACCAAAUUGGAAUUAUCCUUUCGAAAUAAUGUGCAACGCUAGUGACCAUAGUGUAGGAGCAGUCAUUGGAAAAAAAAUCGAGAAAGAACCACACGUCAACCACACGUCAUCUCCUAUGCUUCUAAAACUUUGGAUGCUGCCCAAAUCAAUUAUUUGACCACAGAAAAGGAGUUUCUAGCUAUAUUCUUUGCCUUAGAAAAUUUUUGUUCGUAUUUAUUAGGAACUAAGAUUGUGGUUUUUUCUGAUCAUGCAGCUUUAAAAUAUCUAAUCGGGAAGAAGGAAGCAAAACCGAGACUUAUAAGGUGGAUACUACUUUUGCAAGAGUUCAAUCUCGAAAUAAAGGAUAAAAAAUGACGUGAAAAUUUGGUAGCUAACCAUCUGAGCCGAAUUCCUCCAUCGAAUAAUGUAACACCACUUAAAGGCCAUUUUUCGGAUGAAAGCUUACUUACUACUCAAACGAUUUUUCCUUGGUAUGCAGACAUGGUGAAUUACCUUACUACAGGUAUAGUCUCUUCUAACUUAUCGCGAUAUGAAAAAGAUAAGAUCAAACCUGAGUCACGAUAUUAUAUUUGGGACGACCCCUAUCUUUGGAAAUACUGUUCUGACCAGGUAAUUCGACGAUAUGUCGUAGAGACUGAGGUAAAAUCGAUUCUAUCUUUUUGUCAUUCUUAUACAUGUGGUGGACAUUUUGGCCCUAAACGGACUGCGCAUAAAGUACUUGAAUGUGGACUAUAUUAGCCACAUAUCUUUCGAGAUGAAUAUUUUUUCUGUAAAACAUGCGAAAAGUGUCUAAGGGUAGGAAACUUGAGUCGGAAAAAUGAAAUGCCUCUAACCUCUGUACAUGUUUGUGAAAUAUUUGAUAUAUGGGGCAUAGAUUUUAUGGGACCUUUUGUCUUGUCAUACGGUAACAUCUAUAUUCUACUGCAGUUGACUAUGUGUCGAAGUGGGUGGAAGCAAAAGCCACUCAUCAUGCUGAUGCAAAAACAGUAGUUGAUUUUCUAAAGAGUUAUAUUUUUUCUAAGUUUGGCACACCGCGAGCAUUGAUCAGCGACCGUAGAACGCAUUUUUGCAAUAAGGUAAUGAAACCCUUUUGACAAAAUACAAGGUAGUGCAACGAGUCGCUACAGCUUAUCACCUUCAAUCAAACGGUCAAGUGGAAGUGUCGAAUCGAGAAAUCAAGUUGAUUUUGGAGAAGACUGUCAUGCUGAGUAGAAAAAAUUAGAGUUUGUGACAAAAUGAUGCAUUGUGGGCUUACCGUACGGCUUAUAAAGGACCCAUAGGUAUGUCUCUUUAUCGACUAAUAUUUGGUAAACCAUGUCAUCUUCCUGUUGAGCUAGAACAUAAAGCGUUUUGGGCGGUCAAGCAAUGCAACAUGGAGUUGGAAGUUGCAGGUAAGCAUCGUAAGUUACAUAUUCAGGAACUUGAGGAAAUUCGACAAGAAACGUAUGAGAGUGCCUAAAUUUAUAAAGAUAAGGUCAAAGCAUAUCAUGACCAAAAGAUAACCCAUAAACAAUUUAUGGUAGGACAAAAAGUAUUACUUUAUGACCCUACAUUAAGAAUUUGUGCAGGUAAACUUCAGACUAAGUGGUUAGGGCCUUUCGUUGUUACUCACGUAUUUCCACAUGGUGCAGUCGAAGUUAAAAGCAAAGAAUCUGAAAAAAAUUUAAGGUCAACGGACAACGAUUGAAGCCUUUCUAUUAGAAUUUUUAAGUCCACGUGGUUGAGGAGUUAGUCCUCGAAGAGUCGGAUAAAUAAAUUCCCAGGUCAUCGAGCUAACGACAUUAAACAAAAGUGCUUUUUGGGAGGCAACCCUAAUUUAUUUUCAUUUAUUUAAAUUUUAUUAAGAUUUAGGAUGUUAAUAAAUAUAUUUUUAAUUCAAUUAGUUCGAUGUUUUCAGGAAUGUAAUGAAAGAUAUGAAUUUUAUUGGAUAAUGAUGGUGAAGUGGGCACGACAUGCUAAUUUGGUGAUAGUUAUUUACCUACGAAAAAAAUCUCAAAUUACCUAACCUUCAUAAAACCCCAAACUCAAAUCCAAUAAACACCAACCCAUUUAACCUACCUAUUCAUACCCAAAAACCAACCUAACAACACAAGUCCAAAAUUGGCCCAAUACCCACCACCCAAGCCAAUUAACUCACCUACCCAUAAAAGCCAAAUUACCCAAUAGGCCCGAUAGAAAAAUAAUAAAAAAAUAAAAAAAUUUAAACACCCAAAAUCCUUAAAAUUUCCCAACCCAUUUUUGUUUCAUCAUCUUUUUCUUCUUCAAAUUAAAAACAAAAACCCUAACAUCAUUCCUAAAAAUCACCGUCACCUCUGUUGUAGCCCUCCAUCACCGACCUCACGUUGUGCUAUUGUUGCUCUGUCCUUAACUGCCGUCCUCCGCUGUCGAUGAGCCCAAAAACCCCAUAUUUAUUUUCUUUUCUUUUCCUUGUUUCCCCUCUACCCGCAACCACCAUUCGUCGGCCUUCUCUACCGCUGUGUCACUGCCGAACAACCUCCUCACUACCACGUCGCAUUGCUCUUGCUGAUCGGAGCCCCACCAGUGCACCGUCGCUCCUCCCUCCCCCAUCUCCUCUAUUUUUUCUUUUUUCUAAACACCAAAACCAUCUUCCACCACCCUAACCAAUGCCAUUCCCAAAGCUCUACUACCACCCUUCGAAAAAUAAAAAAAAUUUUGACCCGAACCACGUCGUCGUCGUUCGUCGCCAUUGACUGUCGCCAACGCAGCCGAGCGCCACCGUCGUCUUUGCCAUUGUCGUAACACCAGAAAUGAUUACUCUUGACAUUAACACGAAAACCAUGGUUCAAACUCGAAACCAAACAACGAAUACUAUUUCGGUUCCACUCAAUCGAAAUCAACACCUUUUUUUAGCGUCUCUCGUCGUCGAUGUCGCCGACGAUGACUCAUACCCUUCUCCACCUUUUCCUAUACGAAUGGUUCCUUCAACGAGAACCCAAUGACGAAGUCUAAUCCCGGUCAAAACAGAACGUUCAAACAGCAACCUGGUCACUCCCGAAAGGUCAAUUACUAACAUAUUAUACAGGUAAUUAGGACAGGUUCAAACCUCUAACGACCAUGUCGAGGCUCCUUUGACUGCGAAUGAAUGUAUCACUCAACGCCAAACACGAUCUACUCAAAGUCAUCGACAACCGACACGUGAUCCACUGACACCACUGUACAACAGUACUGACGCUACUGAAAACUCAAGUCCACCCGACUCGCCCAACGAAUACGUUCGACCAACACAAAACGGUUAAUGUAAUAGAUGAGGUGGUGCAAACACCAUUCCUACCGAAGGACAAUUGUACGAGUUUUUUGAGUUUUUGACCCCGGAGCAUAGCUCAUGAUAUGACGACAUCCGACAACAUCCACUCCCGGUCUGUAAGCAAAUUGAUCUCACCACUCUUGAUAUGUUAAAUAUUCACGAUGCUGUGAUUGAUUAUUUUGAGGCUAUUGGUUGGAGUUCAUUUGCAAAUAUUUCCUGUAAUGCAUAUUAUGAGUUGAUCUAUGAAUUCUACACCACAUUUAGCUUCAAUAUUAAUGCAUUACAGACUAUUGAAACACAAAGCAUUAUAUGUUUUCGUUUGCUUGGUAAGGAUUUUUGGAUCUCGAUUUCUGAAUUUAACAUUGCCAUGGAUUUCAUCGAACCUGACAAUAUUCAAUCAGAUUCCUAUCAUACUGCUUUAUUAGAUAUUCCAAGUUACUUUAAUGCUUAAGAUGCUUAUUGUGCUUUAACUCAUUCAAAUCAACUUUAUAAUCCGAAAACCACAAAAGAAUUGUUGGUACAUGAACCGGCAUUAAGAUAUAUUCAUCAAUUUUUAGCCUUUAGUUUUCCAGGUAGAAAUGAUUUUCAUCUGUUCUAACUAAAACGGAACUAUUCUUUUUGUGAUGUAUGCAUUCUAGUUUUAAAGUUAAUUUAGAAUAUUGGUUUGCAUGAAAUUUUCAUGCCGUUUUGCGCUGUAAUCGUCCACUAAUACUUGGGUCAUAUAGUAUGAAUUUAGCCUCUCGACUUUUCCCUCUGAAAUUGAUUUCUUGUCCUUACCAUGUACAUAUAGUAUUAACAACUUAGAUAAAUAUUGUUUGGAUUUUAUAGGAUUGCUUGCCAGUACUCUUACUUCGUGUUAUUUUGUUCCUCUAGGUACACGGGCUACUUGUAGAAAUAUGGUUUUUCACCAACGUCCACACAUCAAUACUAGAGAGCAAGAGGAACAACCUCUAUCUGUGGCGGCACGUUUAAGCCAGAUCGAAGCUCGGCUUGGAACAAUAGAAAAUCGAGAACAAUGGAAAAUCAAGUCUCCACAAUCCUUGACAUCCUGUAGAAUCGUUUCCCCCAACACUGAUAAAAUCAUUAAAAAACACUUGGGGAAUAUUCUGAACUUUUCUUUUUACCUGUUAUUUGAGCUGUUGUUUUUUAUCUCAUAUGACACAUGCUUGAGGACAAGCAAAGUUUAAGUAGGGGGUUGAAAUUGAUGACGAAUAUGCAUGAUUUUUGCUGCAUGUCUCUCUUUUGAAUAUGUUUAAUCUUAUGCUAGAAUUAUUCAAUAAUUUAUUCCGACAUUGAGCCUCUAAUCUCAUUACUUAUUCAAUUCGAACAGUUGGGCUAAUUUUGAAUUAAAAUGUUCAAAGCAUCUAGAUUAGUCGACAUUUGUGUUUUAAGGUUGCCAUAUGUAACUAGACUUUUCAUAAAUUGAUUGUUUGAAAAAUAAUUUGCUUGUACAUAAAUAAUUUGCUUGUGUACAUAAAUAAAUAAAUAAAAUGAAUAAAUAAAUAAAGGCUCAAGUUAUGAGUGAAAGUGCCGAAAACGUGACCGAAUUGAGUAACCGGGAUAGGGUGCUUGGGUUGUCAUCUUAUCUCGCGAAAAAGGUUCGAGUGACAAGUUGAUAACUUGCAAACAUUCGGCUAACCGAGCCUUCAAAAAAAAAUUGUUUGAACUGAGUAACCGGGAUAGGGUGCUUGGGUUGUUAUCCUAGUUUGCAUAAAAAGGUUUGACCAUGUCUAAAAAAAUUCUAUUUAAUUAAUAAUGCCUUGCAAUUUUUUUAUUCAAACUCAAUUUAGUGAAAUUAUUUAGUUUACAUAUUCCAAUUUUAAGACACUUGUUGAUUAAACUAUACAUUCUGAGCAUUUGUUUAUUUUUUGCCUAUGUUGUUUGCGUUGAUUAUAGAUGUGGAAAACAGGCUCGAUUUGUAAUAAAUUGUCGAAUAUUUUUAGUGUUUGAAGGAAUGACAUGCUUGAGGGCAAACAUGAGCUAAAUAGGGGCAUUUGAUAAUAUGUUAAUUUGCAUGGUUUCUUGUGUUUAAUUUGGUUUAUUCCUGAAUUGAUCCCUGCUAAAUUAGUGUUUUUAUGAUUUAAUCUUGUCAGGGAUGCAAUUGGUCAAAAACAAGCUAAAAGGGGU